UCCAGCAUAGUGUAGUGGUUAGAGUGUUUGACUAGGAUGCUGAAGAUCAGGGUUCAAAUCCUUGCUCAAC